AGAGUUUGAUCCUGGCUCAGGACGAACGCUGGCGGCGUGCCUAACACAUGUAAGUCGAACGGGACUCGGGGGGCAACUCUCGAGUUCAGUGGCAGACGGGUGCGUAACACGUGAGAAACCUGUCCAUCGGUGGGGAAUAGCCGGCCCAACGGCCGGUUAAUACCGCAUACGAUCAUUCGGGGGCAUCCCUGAAUGAGGAAAGCAACCGCAAGGUUGCGCCGGCGGAGGGUCUCGCGACCUAUCAGCUAGUUGGCGGGGUAACGGCCCACCAAGGCGACGACGGGUAGCUGGUCUGAGAGGAUGGCCAGCCACAUUGGGACUGAGACACGGCCCAGACUCCUACGGGAGGCAGCAGUGGGGAAUCUUGCGCAAUGGCCGCAAGGCUGACGCAGCGACGCCGCGUGUGGGAUGACGGCCUUCGGGUUGUAAACCACUGUCGGGAGGAACGAAUACUCGGCUACGAAUAGCAGACCGAGGGUGACGUACCUCCCAAAGAAGCCCUGU
rnacentral:rRNA from 1 species